AGUCCACAUCGACGGGGAGGUUUGGCACCUCGAUGUCGGCUCAUCACAUCCUGGGGCUGUAGUAGGUCCCAAGGGUUGGGCUGUUCGCCCAUUAAAGUGGUACGCGAGCUGGGUUCAGAACGUCGUGAGACAGUUCGGUCCCUAUCCGUCGCAGGCGUAGGAAAUUUGAGAAGACCUGUCCGUAGUACGAGAGGACCGGGAUGGACGUACCUCUGGUGUACCAGUUGUCCUGCCAAGGGCAUGGCUGGGUAGCUAUGUACGGAAUGGAUAAGCGCUGAAAGCAUCUAAGCGCGAAGCCAACUUCAAGAUAAGAUUUCCCACCG
rnacentral:rRNA from 1 species